GUUGGUGAUGUCAUUUGCCUUUACACAUUCUCUCAGACUAACAAGGAUGAAUUCAUCUUCAAAGGAGAUCCUGUCAGCAGUUGACUCCCAAGGGUACUGGUUCCCUGCCCCGCAUCCUGUGGGUAUUUACUGACUGGCCUACCUGUGAGCUGCUGGUUGUCAUCACCCUGUGUGGCACCGUUCCUGACGUUGCAGCCUCCAGACAACAUGCCACAAGAUUGCCCUGAUGUCAGUUCCUAAAGGACCAGCACCUCUGGUCUCUGGUUAUGAGUGGAUUGGCAAGGAAAUAACAAUGAGAAUUUACUGGUAUGAAUAAUGUGUCAUUGAUCAGUUCCUUGGAAGCUCUCCAUCUCUCCUCUGGGAAAAUUCCAGAUGGCCCGAUUAAAACUUCUGUGUGCUCCUGUAGAUGACACCACACCUAGGUCGGGCUGAAAUGGUAGUGUACAUUCUCUGCAGUUGACUUCAGGCAAUGUGGAACAGGGAAUAUGCCUUACUGAGAGGCAAAGAGAUUAUUUCAGUUAGGAAAUGUACAGACUGGAAAUUAAAAUAACAGAGGUUUGGGGAAAAUGUCAAAUUUGUUGGGGCAAACGAGACAGUGGGUGUGUUUAUAUUAUUCUUAUUUGAAAUAAAAUCCUAUUUCUGACACAUAUUUCUUGUCUUUGACUACCAUUUCAUUGUAGUUUUGCAGUAUGUG